ACCAUUCCAUGACUUCCCACCGCGCCCUCGCUCCUACCUCCCCACACCUCUCUCUGAGUCCCCAGGAACACACAGAGGUGCACAUCACAUUCCCUUGUCCACACUGCCCGCCUCUCCCACAUGCCACCCCCUUCCCUGUCCUUCCCCAACUCCCCAGCUCCAAGAGUGGAAGAAAUCCCCAAGAUCAUCUGGGUCUCCCUCUCCACACCCAGAACUGAGGCUUGGAUAUCUUCUUCAACAUCCUUGCCAAGACUUCUCCACCCUCUUGCAUACCUCCAGGGACAGAGAGCUUACUACCUCCCAAGGCAGCCUCCUGCCUUUGGACUGCUCUGACUUUAGCAUCAGCUUAAUACACAGAAGAGGUUUCUGUUUUUCUGUGGCUCUGUCCAUGGCAUCCCACUUGCCCACUCUCCUUCCUGGAGUGUUGAGGUCACACAUUGACUCCCCUGAGCCCUCUUCUCUCCAGGCUAAAGAAUCCCGAAGGCAUCGAGGCCAUUUCUGCUGCAACAAGGUUUCCUGUCUCUUCACUGUCCGCACAUUUCUUAGUAUUCCCUCCAGGCUUGGGCAGGGAGACUCGCAGAUGCACACCCACAAGUAUUCAGUUCUCAAACUCUAGACGAGUGUUGGCAACUGGAUUGCAAGAUGCUCCUACCCUGAUAGAUCAGGGGUGGCUGCUGGAGGCUGUGCUGGGGAUCUGAGGUUUGGUCUGGGCUCAGUGGGAGACGGCAGUGCAAUCCUGAUGAGUGAUGUCUGCCAGGCACCGUAAGUUUGAUUAGUGAUGUCUGCCACGGGCAGGGAUGGAAGGAGCAGUGUGAUGUCUGCUCUCUUCUCUCCCCUCUGUCCCUCUUCAGGAAGAAAGAGCUCAUUCUGUCUCACAAGCCACCGGCAUCCUGUAUCAGCUUCCAGCCUCCCCUCAGGCUUUCCAGUCACCAGGGACACUCGGAGCCACAGCCUAGAGCCCCGUGUUCCCUGGCCUGUGCGUCUGCCCCCUUCUGAGAUGCAGCCAGAAGCUCUGUGCCUGCUGCAAAGAUUCAGGUGGACCCUCCUCUAAUCUCCUCCUGCUGUGCCCGCCAGUCCUUGCCCUCCCACCAGGUCUCUGAGCUCAGUGUUACCAAAUUCGCCCUUUAACAGCUUGCUCUGGCAACCCCAUAAAUGACACCUGAGGUCCGUAGAAGCUAAGCUCCUGAGACCCAGGGGGACCUGCCACUGGUACCGCGGCCCAGCCUGGGGCCUGGGGGCUGCCCCUCUUGAACCACCCACAUGCUUAGCCCCAGCUUUUUGGAAGAGGCAAAUGGCUGGUCUGAGGAUGACACACAAAAACAAAAACAAAAAACAAAAAACCCAUGCUGGGCAGGACUGAGGCAAAUUGCACAGCUUUAUGGCUCUAAUCCAGGGGCAUCCCAGGCUUCUGGGGCCCACAGAAGUCAGAGGGAGGACCCAAGAGAAAGGGCUGGUCAUGAAGGGAAAUCUGGCUAAGGUGGGUUCAAGGGCAGACACAAGACUGCCCCUCAGCAGCUUUCUACAAAUGUGCCAAGGAACCCUCAAUCAGCCCUGAUUCAGCUCGCCAGCCAGCCACUGGCCACCCUCUUAGGCUGGAAAGGGAAGACAGGCAGUUUCUGCUCCUGUUGGCAUUCGCUCAGGCUGGUAGCUAUUUGCAAGACUGCCUGAGGCCAUUCCUUGGAGGCAAGGCAAAGAAAGCUCAGCCCAAAUCAGGCUUGAGCCUCCCUCCAGAGCACAGGGAGAAACAGGGUUUAGCUGGCUUGGUCCAGAUACAACCCACAGCAGGUUCUGGUGGUGGCUGGGGUUGUGGGGGAGGGGUGGGCAGGGAUACCUCUUUGUUUCUUUUCACCCCGAAAUACAACAGCCCAUAACAGAGACUUCCUCGGACCCCACUAACAGGGCAAGGAACAAGAAGACUACACCGCUCAUCACAAACCCUGCCUGUAUCGAAAGCCACUUUCCUGCUCUGAAGCUACUGCCUCUUAGAGAAAGGGAAUAGCUCUUUAUGGGCUGGGGGUGAGGGCCCCUCCCCAGGGUCCCUGUUAAUUUCUGGCCUUGGUGCUCAGGCCUGUCCACAGCCUCCCUUGUCUAUGUCUCUAUCCAUGCUUAAGGGGCCCGGACAGGAUUUCCCAAACCAGCCGAGGCCCCAGCACCCGCCGUCUCCCCAGAAGCCCCCUCCUCCUUCCCCCAUGGGUCAUAUGUUGAAAGUCUAUUUUAAAAACUAUGUUCCUUGCCGUAGAUUGCAGAGCUAAUUUAUCACGUUUCUCUCCUGUGAGACCCCCCUUUUAUAUGAUAUAUCCAGAGGAAGUUUUGUAAUAUAAAACAGGACGCCCACACUGAUGGUUUUGCACUGGUUUUUGUGAAUGUUUCUUACAAAAAGAAAAAGGAACAAAGAAUAAAUAGUGACCGUG
rnacentral:lncRNA from 10 species